UACGAAGGGGGCUAGCGUUGCUCGGAAUCACUGGGCGUAAAGGGUGCGUAGGCGGGUCUUUUAAGUCAGGGGUGAAAUCCUGGAGCUCAACUCCAGAACUGCCUUUGAUACUGAGGAUCUUGAGUUCGGGAGAGGUGAGUGGAACUGCGAGUGUAGAGGUGAAAUUCGUAGAUAUUCGCAAGAACACCAGUGGCGAAGGCGGCUCACUGGCCCGAGUACUGACGCUGAGGCACGAAAGCGUGGG
rnacentral:rRNA from 1 species